rnacentral:rRNA from 1 species
UGGGGAAUAUUGGACAAUGGGGGCAACCCUGAUCCAGCGAUGCCGCGUGAGUGAAGAAGGCCUUCGGGUUGUAAAGCUCUUUCGGCGGGGACGAAACGGUCCGUGACAACACCACGGACUAAUGACAGUACUCGCAGAAGAAGCACCGGCUAACUACGUGCCAGCAGCCGCGGUAAUACGUAGGGUGCAGGCGUUAAUCGGAAUUACUGGGCGUAAAGCGUGCGCAGGCGGCUCCUUAAGUCAGAUGUGAAAUCCCCGGGCUUAACCUGGGAACUGCGUUUGAAACUGAGGGGCUAGAGUGUGGAAGAGGGGGGUGGAAUUCCAGGUGUAGCAGUGAAAUGCGUAGAGAUCUGGAGGAACACCGAUGGCGAAGGCAGCCCCCUGGGCCAACACUGACGCUGAGGUGCGAAAGCAUGGGGAGCAAACAGGAUUAGAUACCCCCGUAGUCCCUGAGCGGGCUGGCAAGGCGCAU